AGAGUUUGAUCAUGGCUCAGAUUGAACGCUGGCGGCAGGCCUAACACAUGCAAGUCGAACGGUAACAGGAAUUAGCUUGCUAAUUUGCUGACGAGUGGCGGACGGGUGAGUAAUGCUUGGGAACUUGCCUUUGCGAGGGGGACAACAGUUGGAAACGACUGCUAAUACCGCAUAACGUCUUCGGACCAAACGGGGCUUAGGCUCUGGCGCAAAGAGAGGCCCAAGUGAGAUUAGCUAGUUGGCGAGGUAAAGGCUCACCAAGGCGACGAUCUCUAGCUGUUCUGAGAGGAAGAUCAGCCACACUGGGACUGAGACACGGCCCAGACUCCUACGGGAGGCAGCAGUGGGGAAUAUUGCACAAUGGGGGAAACCCUGAUGCAGCCAUGCCGCGUGUGUGAAGAAGGCCUUCGGGUUGUAAAGCACCUUCAGUUGUGAGGAAGGGUUGUUGGUUAAUACCCAACAGCAUUGACGUUAGCAACAGAAGAAGCACCGGCUAACUCCGUGCCAGCAGCCGCGGUAAUAC
rnacentral:rRNA from 1 species